CGCGUGCUUCUCUCCAACGGCGUCCCCUCAUGAUGCUCUCAGAGUCCCAGCAGUCCAUGCUCCCCACCGCCAUCAACCACCUCAUCAGCGACGCGACCCUCCACUUUGGCUUUGUCGUCCACCUCUAGGACGUCACCUGCAAGAACAACAACAUCCAGCACCGCAGGUUCGUCAACCGACCAGGAUAUAUUAGCAGAUGUUGGUCCUGAUCUCCUUGGAUGCUUUGCUCCGCUUAGCAAGAAUUCGUUUGUGUGCCUUAGGAGCUAGCGAUUUCAGCAAAAAUUGUAUGCUGCGAUAGUUUUUAAGAUGCAGGCAGGUGCAGGUACUGGGGUGUUCACGCAACUUGGGGGUUUCAACUUGUGUUUAUUUGAAGUUAAUGAUAUCCUGCCGUAGAUUCAUUGUUGGUUUCCACAAAUAGGCCAAUUGACAGUGAAACUCGAAUUUUGUGUUGGAUUAGUGGGUAUUAACAAUCCUCAAAAAAAUUGUUGUUCAACUCAUAAGCAAUUAAGCAUUAAAAUUUUGUGAAUUAAUUGGUAAUUUAAUUUUCUAAGAUGUGCCUUUUCUCUAUAUGUCUGAUAGACUCGAAUUUAGGAUCACUGGAUGAGAUUUCAGUAUAGUUAAUGAACAAAUUUCAGUGGUGGAAUUUAGCACCAGUAGAUGAAGAAUUUCAGUUCACUUCAUGAAGAAAUUCCAGUGGCGUAAACAGCUAGGAAUUCAUUCGAGUGGUUUUUUUUUUUUUUACUUGUUGCACAAACUGUGCUCUUUUUCAACGAGCUAGCAUGGCAUCCCUUCACGCAUCUAUUCUCAUGAAACUAUUUGUCUAGCUCUGAAAUCCAUUAAUUCACUAAAAAAAUCUUUUGUGUAAAUGAAUUUUGUGUUUCUUAUUGUGAAAGUAAUAUCCAGGCAUGUCUGAACUUGGAGCAUAAGAGCUAACAUCACCCCUGUAGUCCUAGAGAAGUCCCGCUCUUCAGAAAUCAGUUUUAACUUGCUUUUCUAUUGGUGAUCUUUUUUUACUAUUGGACCUUCAGUGAAAUUGUGAUGUGAAAUUUCUCUAUGUUCUAAUCAUCCGAAAGUAACAUGGCAUGUGUCCACAUAGUUGUUCUCAUGACACUAUUUGUCUGGCUCUGACAUCCAUUAUAUUCACCUCUCGAUACCGAGAUGAUCAUGUAGAAGACGGACGAGCAGAUAAAGAAAGAGCCAGAGUUUAAGGCUAUAGCCAGGAAGGCAUACAUAAUCGCAGUGUCUUGCUUGGACAAGCAAAAUGUACCGCUGCCAGUUGUGAUGCAGCUCUUGGAUAUGGACGAAAUACUGGAAAUAAUACAUGUUGAUCCACUAUUUCUUUUACUUUUUUUCUUGUCCUCUAAGGACAUCUUUUCAUAAUUGCCUAGAUUGAUUUUUUAUGGGCUUAUCUAGAUUGUUAUUAUUCGCUCAGAUUAAUAUGGUUGAGGUGUUGGCUUUUCACCACCUUGGUUCUCAUGUGUAAGUUUGGUGGCACCAAUCAAUUCAUAGUUGUAGUACAAUUUCUCAUUCAUGGUCUUGUUUUUUAGCCUGAAUGAAAUGUUAGAGUAUAAAAUUAGUUCAGUAAUUGAAGUGGAUAUC